UAGGGAAUCUUCCGCAAUGGGCGAAAGCCUGACGGAGCAACGCCGCGUGAGUGAUGAAGGUCUUCGGAUCGUAAAACUCUGUUAUUAGGGAAGAACAAAUGUGUAAGUAACUAUGCACGUCUUGACGGUACCUAAUCAGAAAGCCACGGCUAACUACGUGCCAGCAGCCGCGGUAAUACGUAGGUGGCAAGCGUUAUCCGGAAUUAUUGGGCGUAAAGCGCGCGUAGGCGGUUUUUUAAGUCUGAUGUGAAAGCCCACGGCUCAACCGUGGAGGGUCAUUGGAAACUGGAAAACUUGAGUGCAGAAGAGGAAAGUGGAGUUCCAUGUGUAGCGGUGAAAUGCGCAGAGAUAUGGGGGAACACCAGUGGCGAAGGCGACUUUCUGGUCUGUAACUGACGCUGAUGUGCGAAAGCGUGGGGAUCAAACAGG
rnacentral:rRNA from 1 species